rnacentral:tRNA from 1 species
CGAAAUCGGUAGUCGCUACGGACUUAAAAUCCGUCGACUUUAAAAAUCGUGAGGGUUCAAGUCCCUCUAUCCCCA